rfam:Frankia inefficax strain EuI1c chromosome, complete genome.
CUUGACCGAGCCGAGCCACAGCGGUCGGUCGGCCGGCCGGCCCUGGCCGUAGGUGGCCAGUAGGGCCUGGGCCUC